CACAAGCGGUGGAGUAUGUGGUUUAAUUCGACGCAACGCGCUAGAACCUUUACCUGGUCUUGACAUCCCGGGAAUCUUUCUGAAAAGGAGAGAGUGCCUCGCAAGAGGAGCCUGGAGACAGGUGCUGCAUGGCUGUCGUCAGCUCGUGUCGUGAGAUGUUGGGUUAAGUCCCGCAACGAGCGCAACCCUUUUCCUUAUUUGCCAGCGGGUCAUGCCGGGAACUUUAAGGAUACUGCCAGUGACAAACUGGAGGAAGGCGGGGACGACGUCAAGUCAUCAUGGCCCUUACGGCCAGGGCUACACACGUGCUACAAUGGUCGGUACAAAGGGUUGCUACCUCGCGAGAGGAUGCUAAUCUCAAAAAGCCGAUCGUAGUCCGGAUCGCAGUCUGCAACUCGACUGCGUGAAGUCGGAAUCGCUAGUAAUCGUGGAUCAGCAUGUCACGGUGAAUACGUUCCCGGGUCUU
rnacentral:rRNA from 1 species